GAGUUGAUCAUGGCUCAGGACGAACGCUGGCGGCGUGCCUAAUACAUGCAAGUCGAGCGAAUGACGAGGAGCUUGCUCCUCUGAUUUAGCGGCGGACGGGUGAGUAACACGUGGGCAACCUGCCCUGUAGACUGGGAUAACUUCGGGAAACCGGAGCUAAUACCGGAUAAUCCAUUUCACCUCAUGGUGAAAUGUUGAAAGGCGCUUCGGCGUCACUACAGGAUGGGCCCGCGGUGCAUUAGCUAGUUGGUGGGUAACGGCCUACCAAGGCAACGAUGCAUAGCCGACCUGAGAGGGUGAUCGGCCACAUUGGGACUGAGACACGGCCCAAACUCCUACGGGAGGCAGCAGUAGGGAAUCUUCCACAAUGGACGAAAGUCUGAUGGAGCAACGCCGCGUGAGUGAUGAAGGUUUUCGGAUCGUAAAACUCUGUUGUAAGGGAAGAACAAGUACGUUAGGAAAUGAACGUACCUUGACGGUACCUUAUUAGAAAGCCACGGCUAACUACGUGCCAGCAGCGGC
rnacentral:rRNA from 1 species